GUGAGACUGAAAAUUCUUCAAGGACAAGAGAGCAUGGAUUUCUCAUGUUCUUGAAAGGAAGAAGGAAAACCUUCUAGGAGAGAGGACAGGCAGAAGAAAUAAAAGAUUUUUCAGGGAAGAGUCAAACAGGAGACAUUUGAUAUGAUAUUGGUUCAUAUAUGAUAACUUGAAUUGGCAAAUACAUGCAAUAUUGGAUUUAUGUAAACUUUAUGAAGAAAAGAGCCAAGAAGUACAAAAAUGCAGUUUGAAAUUAGGUGUUCAAAACACAAAAUUAAAAAAAAUAAACCUGAAGGCUACAAGAUACGUCUUCUACUAUGUGUGAUUUUGUGAAAAAUUCACUUAUCCUCAUAGUUGUAAAUAUAGAGAAUAAAAAAGAAAAUUACCAUCAGUGUUUUCUGCAGCA
rnacentral:lncRNA from 1 species